rnacentral:rRNA from 1 species
AGAGUUUGAUCCUGGCUCAGGAUGAACGCUAGCUACAGGCUUAACACAUGCAAGUCGAGGGGCAUCAGGAAGAAAGCUUGCUUUCUUUGCUGGCGACCGGCGCACGGGUGAGUAACACGUAUCCAACCUGCCCUUUACUCGGGGAUAGCCUUUCGAAAGAAAGAUUAAUACCCGAUAGCAUAAUGAUUCCGCAUGGUUUCAUUAUUAAAGGAUUCCGGUAAAGGAUGGGGAUGCGUUCCAUUAGGUUGUUGGUGAGGUAACGGCUCACCAAGCCUUCGAUGGAUAGGGGUUCUGAGAGGAAGGUCCCCCACAUUGGAACUGAGACACGGUCCAAACUCCUACGGGAGGCAGCAGUGAGGAAUAUUGGUCAAUGGGCGUAAGCCUGAACCAGCCAAGUCGCGUGAGGGAUGAAGGUUCUAUGGAUCGUAAACCUCUUUUAUAAGGGAAUAAAGUGCGGGACGUGUCCCGUUUUGUAUGUACCUUAUGAAUAAGGAUCGGCUAACUCCGUGCCAGCAGCCGCGGUAAUACGGAGGAUCCGAGCGUUAUCCGGAUUUAUUGGGUUUAAAGGGAGCGUAGGUGGACUGGUAAGUCAGUUGUGAAAGUUUGCGGCUCAACCGUAAAAUUGCAGUUGAUACUGUCAGUCUUGAGUACAGUAGAGGUGGGCGGAAUUCGUGGUGUAGCGGUGAAAUGCUUAGAUAUCACGAAGAACUCCGAUUGCGAAGGCAGCUCACUGGACUGCAACUGACACUGAUGCUCGAAAGUGUGGGUAUCAAACAGGAUUAGAUACCCUGGUAGUCCACACAGUAAACGAUGAAUACUCGCUGUUUGCGAUAUACAGUAAGCGGCCAAGCGAAAGCAUUAAGUAUUCCACCUGGGGAGUACGCCGGCAACGGUGAAACUCAAAGGAAUUGACGGGGGCCCGCACAAGCGGAGGAACAUGUGGUUUAAUUCGAUGAUACGCGAGGAACCUUACCCGGGCUUAAAUUGCAGUGGAAUGAUGUGGAAACAUGUCAGUGAGCAAUCACCGCUGUGAAGGUGCUGCAUGGUUGUCGUCAGCUCGUGCCGUGAGGUGUCGGCUUAAGUGCCAUAACGAGCGCAACCCUUAUCUUCAGUUACUAACAGGUCAUGCUGAGGACUCUGGAGAGACUGCCGUCGUAAGAUGUGAGGAAGGUGGGGAUGACGUCAAAUCAGCACGGCCCUUACGUCCGGGGCUACACACGUGUUACAAUGGGGGGUACAGAAGGCAGCUAGCGGGUGACCGUAUGCUAAUCCCAAAAUCCUCUCUCAGUUCGGAUCGAAGUCUGCAACCCGACUUCGUGAAGCUGGAUUCGCUAGUAAUCGCGCAUCAGCCACGGCGCGGUGAAUACGUUCCCGGGCCUUGUACACACCGCCCGUCAAGCCAUGGGAGCCGGGGGUACCUGAAGUACGUAACCGCAAGGAUCGUCCUAGGGUAAAACUGGUGACUGGGGCUAAGUCGUAACAAGGUAGCCGUACCGGAAGGUGCGGCUG